rnacentral:rRNA from 1 species
CCCCUAGACGUUCUGGGCUGCACGCGCGCUACAAUAAUACGCACAGCGAGUAUCACCGAGCUCGAAAGGGCAAGGUAAACAAUAGAAAAGGUACUGUAAUGGUUAUAGAUCCUUGUAAUUAUUGAUCUUCAACGAGGAAUUCCUAGUAAGUAUGUGACAUCAUCACGCACUGAUUACGUCCCUGCCCUUUGUACACACCGCCCGUCGCUCCUACCGAUUGAGUGAGCCGAUGAAACUGCCGGAUGUGGACUAUUCAUAGUCUGCAGAAGAUAUUUGAAUCGUAGCGCUUAGAGGAAGGAGAAGUCGUAACA